UUGCUUCGGCAGCACAUAUACUAAAACUGGAACGAUACAGAUUAGCAUGGCCCCUGAGUAAGGAUGACAUACAAAUUUGUGAAGUGUUCUGUAUUAAA
rnacentral:snRNA from 1 species